UACGGAGGGUGCAAGCGUUAAUCGGAAUUACUGGGCGUAAAGCGCGCGUAGGUGGUUUGCUAAGCCAGCUGUGAAAUCCCCGGGCUCAACCUGGGCACUGCAGUUGGAACUGGCAAGCUAGAGUAGGGUAGAGGGGUGUGGAAUUCCAGGUGUAGCGGUGAAAUGCGUAGAUAUCUGGAGGAACAUCAGUGGCGAAGGCGACACCCUGGACCAAUACUGACGAUCAGGUGCGAAAGCGUGGGGAGCAAACAGG
rnacentral:rRNA from 1 species